UACAGAGGUCUCAAGCGUUGUUCGGAUUCAUUGGGCGUAAAGGGUGCGUAGGUGGCGCGUUAAGUCAGGUGUGAAAUUUCGGAGCUUAACUCCGAAACUGCAUUUGAUACUGGCGUGCUUGAGGACUGGAGAGGAGACUGGAAUUCAUGGUGUAGCAGUGAAAUGCGUAGAGAUCAUGAGGAAGACCAGUGGCGAAGGCGGGUCUCUGGGCAGUAACUGACGCUGAGGAGCGAAAGCGUGGGGAGCGAACAGG
rnacentral:rRNA from 1 species